rnacentral:rRNA from 1 species
GUAGGGAAUCUUCCACAAUGGACGCAAGUCUGAUGGAGCAACGCCGCGUGAGUGAAGAAGGUCUUCGGAUCGUAAAACUCUGUUGUUAGAGAAGAACACGAGUGAGAGUAACUGUUCAUUCGAUGACGGUAUCUAACCAGCAAGUCACGGCUAACUACGUGUCAG